UCUCCCGUGAGGGAGCAGUCUCGCCUGAGAAAUAUAACAGGCAAUAAGGGUUGCGUUCGUUACCCCACUGAAGGGAACAGUUCAAACCACGAACUGACGACGGCCGUGCACCACCUGUCCAGCACCCUCGAAGGCUCCAUCCCUUUCGGGUUGGAUGCAGCUGGAUUUCUAAUCCUGGUAAGGUUCUUCGUUUGCCGACGAAUUAAGCCACAUGAUCCACCGCUUGUGCGAGUCCCCGUCUAUUCCUUUGAGUUUUAAGCUUGCGCUCGUACUACCCAGGCGGCUCGCUUACCGCGUUAGCUUAGCCCCAGAGAGGGUCGAUACUCCCUAGAGCGAGCGAGCAGCGUUUAGGGCCAGGACUA
rnacentral:misc_RNA from 1 species